UAAAUAGCAACCCAUUGUUUU
rnacentral:piRNA from 1 species